UACAUAGGGGGCAAGCGUUAUCCGGAAUUAUUGGGCGUAAAGGGUGCGUAGGUGGUUAUUUAAGUCUUUGGUGUAAGUGCAGUGCUUAACGCUGUGAUGCUAAAGAAACUGGGUAACUUGAGUGUGGUAGAGGCAAGUGGAAUUCCAUGUGUAGCGGUAAAAUGCGUAAAUAUAUGGAGGAACACCAGUGGCGAAGGCGGCUUGCUGGGCCACAACUGACACUGAGGCACGAAAGCGUGGGGAGCAAACAGGAUUAGAUACCCUGGUAGUCCACGCCGUAAACGAUGAGUACUAAGUGUAGGAGAAAUUCUGUGCUGUAGUUAACGCAAUAAGUACUCCGCCUGAGUAGUACGUGCGCAAGCAUGAAACUCAAGGGAAUUGACGGGACCCCGCACAAGCGGUGGAUCAUGUUGUUUAAUUCGAUGAUACGCGAAGAACCUUACCAGGUCUUGACAUCCCCUGCAAAGCUAUGGAGACAUAGUGGAGGUUAUCAGGGAGACAGGUGGUGCAUGGUUGUCGUCAGCUCGUGUCGUGAGAUGUUGGGUUAAGUCCCGCAACGAGCGCAACCCUUAUUGCUAGUUACCAUCAUUAAGUUGGGGACUCUAGCGAGACUGCCAGUGAUAAACUGGAGGAAGGUGGGGAUGACGUCAAAUCAUCAUGCCCCUUAUGACCUGGGCUACAAACGUGAUACAAUGGCUGAAACAAAGGGCAGCGAAGCAGUGAUGUGGAGCGAAACCCAAAAAAGCAGUCUCAGUUCGGAUUGAAGUCUGCAACUCGACUUCAUGAAGUCGGAAUCGCUAGUAAUCGCGGAUCAGAACGCCGCGGUGAAUACGUUCUCGGGGUU
rnacentral:rRNA from 1 species